rnacentral:rRNA from 1 species
GGGGAAUAUUGCGCAAUGGGGGGAACCCUGACGCAGCCAUGCCGCGUGAAUGAAGAAGGCCUUCGGGUUGUAAAGUUCUUUCGGUAUUGAGGAAGGUUGAUGUGUUAAUAGUACAUCAAAUUGACGUUAAAUACAGAAGAAGCACCGGCUAACUCCGUGCCAGCAGCCGCGGUAAUACGGAGGGUGCGAGCGUUAAUCGGAAUAACUGGGCGUAAAGGGCACGCAGGCGGUUAUUUAAGUGAGGUGUGAAAGCCCCGGGCUUAACCUGGGAAUUGCAUUUCAGACUGGGUAACUAGAGUACUUUAGGGAGGGGUAGAAUUCCACGUGUAGCGGUGAAAUGCGUAGAGAUGUGGAGGAAUACCGAAGGCAAAGGCAGCCCCUUGGGAAUGUACUGACGCUCAUGUGCGAAAGCGUGGGGAGCAAACAGGAUUAGAUACCCUGGUAGUCCACGCUGUAAACGCUGUCGAUUUGGGGAUUGGGCUUAGAGCUUGGUGCCCGUAGCUAACGUGAUAAAUCGACCGCCUGGGGAGUACGGCCGCAAGGUUA